UACGUAGGAGACGAGCGUUGUCCGGAAUUACUGGGCGUAAAGCGCGUGUAGGCGGAUGAGCAAGUCUGCUGUGAAAGCUCCUGGCUUAACCGGGAGUGGUCGGUGGAAACUGCUCGUCUGGAGGACGGUAGAGGUAGGUAGAAUUCCCGGUGUAGUGGUGAAAUGCGUAGAGAUCGGGAGGAAUACCUGUGGCGAAGGCGGGUCUCUGGACAGUUCCUGACGCUGAGGCACGAAGGUCAGGGGAGCAAACGGG
rnacentral:rRNA from 1 species